UAUGUAUGUGUGUGUAUGCGUGUGUGUGUGUAUGUGUAUGCUUGUGCAUGUGUGUGUAUUGAUAAAUGUGGUAUACUAUUCGAAAUACAACUCUGAAAGGAAAAAAAAAAAUUUUCUCCAUCGAUUUGAUUCUGCUGAGUAUUGGAUAUUUGAUGUUAGAUGCUGUUGCAACGCUAAACUUUUCAACUAUUAGUUUUUCAGGAUAUUCAAAACAUUUUCAAUAUAUGCAAGUUGAGAGUUUCAAAAAAAUGUUUUAUUCCAAUUUGCUGAAAUUAACAACAUUUUAGUAGAUAUAACUGCACAGUUCUCUAAUGAUCCAGAAGAAGGUUUUACACAACGUAAAAUUUCAGAUGAACUUAAUGUUUUGAAAAGAAAAAUUGCAAAUAUAGAUAUCCAAUACAUCGCUUUUGUAUUAGUAAAACAGUUAUCAUUAAUAAGCGGUAAAAAAUAGAGUAGAUACAAUUAAAAAUAUUUUGCUCUUGUAAGUAAUUAGCAAAAGUUUGAAUUUUAACAUUUAUGAUUGACCGUACAUUAUUUAUCAUCUUUUUUAUAUAUGUAGACUACCAACAGACACUAUUUUGUCAGAAUACAGCAUGAAUGGUCUAAAGAAGAAAAAAAAGUUUAAAGAUUUGACAAGUCUAUGUAAUGCUGAAACUGCUUUAAAGUCAAAUAAAAACAAAAUGGAUGCCAUCCAUCCAACUUAUUGGGAGAGUAAUUACGAAUUCUUCUGACCGAUAAAAGAAAACAUCCACUAAUAUGAAUAUCGAUCAAUGAUCGGCUUAAUUAGCUGUUGUAUUUUUUAUUUAUUUUCCAUUUUUCAGCAAUUUUCUUCUAUUUAUAAUGCA